GGCUAGAUGAGUGCUAGUGUUGGAGGGUUUCCGCCCUUCAGUGCUCGCGAGCUAACGCAUUAAGCACUCCGCCUGGGGAGUACGACCGCAAGGUUGAAACUCAAAGGAAUUGACGGGGGCCCGCACAAGCGGUGGAGCAUGUGGUUUAAUUCGAAGCUACGCGAAGAACCUUACCAGGUCUUGACAUCUUGCGCUAACCUUAGAGAUAAGGCGUUCCCUUCGGGGACGCAAUGACAGGUGGUGCAUGGUCGUCGUCAGCUCGUGUCGUGAGAUGUUGGGUUAAGUCCCGCAACGAGCGCAACCCUUGUUACUAGUUGCCAGCAUUAAGUUGGGCACUCUAGUGAGACUGCCGGUGACAAACCGGAGGAAGGUGGGGACGACGUCAGAUCAUCAUGCCCCUUAUGACCUGGGCUACACACGUGCUACAAUGGACGGUACAACGAGUCGCAAGCUCGCGAGAGUAAGCUAAUCUCUUAAAGCCGUUCUCAGUUCGGACUGUAGGCUGCAACUCGCCUACACGAAGUCGGAAUCGCUAGUAAUCGCGGAUCAGCAUGCCGCGGUGAAUACGUUCCCGGGCCUUGUACACACCGCCCGUCACACCAUGGGAGUUUGUAACGCCCAAAGUCGGUGGCCUAACCUUUAUGGAGGGAGCCGCCUAAGGCGGGACAGAUGACUGGGGUGAAGUCUACAAAGGGGGGAACAAAA
rnacentral:rRNA from 1 species